rnacentral:rRNA from 1 species
UUCUUACUGUAAUUUUAGUAAGUAACACCUGCCCAGUGAAUUUUUUACGGCCGCGGAAAUUUAACCGUGCUAAGGUAGCAUAAUCAUUAGCCCCCUAAUUAGGGGCCAGAAUGAAAGGUAGUACCUUCCAUCCCCUUUAUUAAUUAUUUUCUUUAAAAUUUAACUAAAAAUAAAAAUGUUUUUAUUUCUUAAAUAGACGACAAGACCCUUUUGAACUUCACUUUAGUUUAACUGGGGCAGUUAAAAAAUAAUAAUCUUAAUUUUUCCUAAAAAUAUAAGUGACCUAGUACCAUUAAUUUUAUGAACAAGUUACCAUAGGGAUAACAGCGUAAUAUUUUUCUAUAGCUCUUAUAUAAAUAAAUGAUUGCGACCUCGAUGUUGAAUUAGUAUAACUCUAUUAUGCAAUAAUUUUAAGAGUAGGUCUGUUCGACCUUUAAAAUACUACAU